rnacentral:lncRNA from 1 species
AGCCAUAUAAGGAGACCAAGAACCUCAAAUCGACAAGUAAGGCUCAAAAUUGCACCUAAUUUCAAAAAGAAAAAACGUUGGCAUAAUAGUAAACAACAUUUAAACAGGAGAAGAUAUAGGACUGGGAGACCUAAAACUUAUUUGGCGAAAUUUAAUCAAGAUCGAUAUCCAAACACCGUCCAUACAAACCCACACAUUUCAACAAAGCUUUAUACCUAAACCAAAGAGGAACAAACUGAAAUCGAUGUAAAAUAGCUUCAAGAGAUAAAAAAGAAAAUUUCAUUUAAAUCACGUAGCAAAUUGAACUAAUACUCAACUUUGCAAUCCUUGAAAAUGAACCAAAACCUAAAAGGAAGCAUCUAAAAAUACUAGUUUAGUUACUUCCAUUGAGGGAUUUCGUAGAAUGACUGUUGAGGAAUUUAGGCAAAAACAAGUAUAUAGAAAUAGAAAUAGAACAGGAGGAAAGUAAUGAAAAGAAUGGAAAUUGAGUCUAACUCAACCCAAAAAGCUAGUUUAUGAGGUGAGGAUUGUCCAAGCCAUAUAAGGAGACCAAGAACCUCAAAUCCCUCAGAUGUGGGACAACUCAACACCCCUCACGCCCAGAUCUCUGGAGCGUGGACAACAUAAAUGGGGGCCCAACAUCGGUAACAAUAAUUGGGAUGAGUCAGUCUCUGAUACCAUGAUAAGAAUAAAAAUUGGGCCUAACUCAACCCCAAAAACUAGCUUAUGAGGUGAGGAUUACCCAAGCCAUAUAAAGAGACCAAGGACCUCAACAGCCCUUGCCAUCAAAACACGCCAAUUUCAGUCGAGUGAGAUUUAAAAUUUCGGGAUUCGAAGUUCGCCUUGCCAGCGAGCCUCGAAUUUCCGAAGAGUCGAUAGAGUUUGCCGAAGCAUCCAUGGUCUGCCGAGUGCUAAAUUCCAUUCCUGUU